GCUCUUCGCCGCUUCAAAGGAAUAUUCAACCCAACCGAAGCAUCAAAAGACGGCCGCCGCGAGUGAUUCGUGCAAGGGGAGGGUAACGCUGCGUCCCCGAACCUGUGGACCAAUCGCAUACUGCCUCCUCGCCCGCCGUUCCAUUUCAACGCUUCUCCGUGACUCCGCCCCUGCUCUCUGCUUCUCCUCUCCCUAUCGCUGCCACGGGAUGGGCGGGGGGUGAAAAGAGGAGCUCCCGCCACCGAUUGCAUCGUCUUCUCCGCCACUGAUCAUCUGAUCUCUUUCCGACUGAGCUCCGGCAUUCGAUCUGCCCGUACGACUCCUCCGCUUCCCCUUUGCCCUCGGCGCCCUCAUUAGAGCUCGAUUUUGAGCUCCUCGGACGCCCCUUUCCGCUGGUGGGGGAAGUGUUAGAUUUGUCUGCACCGGAAGUGGAUGAUGGAUUUAACUUGUGGUUUUCGGCCGACGACCGCGUUCGAUUACGGCAAUGGCUCCAGUUAUUUGAGGUUUACGUACAGAGGGCAAAGUCGCAGCGUACUUCGUGAAACUAAGGUCUGCUUCAAGUCUUAUUCCUUGGGCGGGGGAGUGCGUGGACUUGGUAAUGGUCGUGUUUCAUUGGGUUCAGUGCUCGGGAGAGAUUAUAGUGAGCCGUUUAGUUUUUCCGGGCGAUGGAGGAGACCUUUCGAAGGCAAUUUCUUGAACCCUCGGAAGCUUCUGAAGGGAUCCAUGCUCUUAAACUGUCAAUCGAAUGAUUCUUUGGCAUAUGUUGGUGCCAGCAAUCAGAAUUUUGAUGCCACUGAAAGCAACUUAGUGGAUGAGCAGAUGCCUUCCAUCGAAGACUCGGAAGUAGGGGCUGGCUCUGAUGUAAAGCUGAGUGGUCCAGAGGCGGAGGAAAAGGAAGCCUAUCAAGUGGAUGAGUUGAGGGAAUUGCUACAGAAGUCUAGCAAGGAAUUGCAGGUUGCUCGGCUUAACAGUACCAUGUUUGAAGAGAAGGCACAGAAUAUAUCAGAAACAGCGAUUGCCUUAAAAGAUGAAGCGGAACGUGCCUGGGAAGAUGUUAACUCUGCUGUUUCUUCCAUUCAGGAGAUCAUUAACGAAGAGGACAUUGCCAAAGAAGCAGUCCAGAAGGCCACCAUGGCCCUCUCAAUGGCUGAGGCCAGGAUGCAAGUGGCAGCAGAAGCUAUUGAUUCCAAAAAGGAACAAACAACAUUGACAGAACCUUCAAUGGAGAAUGAUGAGGAACAAGCACUUGUAUCUGCUCGAGAAGAGAUCAGUGGCUGCAAGGAAAGCUUGGAAAGCUGUGCAGAAGGUUUGAGACGCAUUCAGAUGAGGAAGGAGGAACUGCAAAAAGAAGUAGAGAGGUUGCGCCAGAUUGCUGAGAAAGCUCAGCUGGAUUCAUUAAAAGCUGAGGAGGAUGUGGCAAACAUUAUGCUUCUCGCUGAACAGGCAGUGGCUUUUGAGCUGGAGGCUACCCAACGUGUUAAUGAUGCGGAGCUGGCACUACAGAGAGCUGAGAAAGCUGUCUCUUCUGCUGAUGCUGUCGAGCAGCAAGCACAACCUUCUCAGGACCAGGUGGUUAAGGAGGAAGCAAAUGUUGUUGAGGAGGUUACGCGAGGUACUGUCAGUGACGCUACUACCGAAAGAGAUGAAGUGUUGGUUGGUGAUAAACUUUUGGCUGGUGAUGUGGCUGUUCGAAGCAUUGAAGAGGUGGAAACAUUUGAUGAACUGAGUGAUCAAGAGAAUGGAAAGUUGACCUUGGAUUUUACCAAAGAAGCUGAUAUAGAGUUCGAAAAGUCAAAGGCAAAGAAGCAGGAACAACAAAAGGACUUCACUAGGGAUAGUUCUUCAACUGUUAAUGCACCCAAGGCUUCGUUGAAAAAGUCAUCAAGGUUCUUUUCUGCAUCGUUUUUCUCUUUUGAUGUAGAAGAUGAAGAGUUUACACUUGCCUCUGUCUUCCAUGGCCUUGUUAAUUUUGCGAAGAAGCAAGCACCCAAGCUGGUUAUCGGAAUUAUGUUUCUUGGAAUGGGGGCUUACUUCUUAAGUAAUCGGGUAGAAAGGACCUCACAAUUGCUUCAUCAGCCAGAUGUAAUCAGUAUUGAAGAAGUGGCCUCAUCUGCCAAGCCUGUGGUUCGAGCAAUAAGGAAGAUCCCUAAAAGAUUAAAGAAACUUAUUGAACUCUUACCUCAGCAAGAGAUAAAUGAAGAAGAGGCCUCCCUGUUUGACAUGCUGUGGUUACUGCUAGCUAGCGUUAUCUUUGUACCAAUAUUCCAGAAAAUACCUGGAGGUAGUCCUGUACUAGGAUAUCUUACUGCUGGUAUCUUGAUUGGUCCAUAUGGGCUGUCUAUUAUUCGGCAUGUUCACGGGACAAAGGCCAUUGCUGAAUUUGGAGUUGUGUUUUUGCUAUUCAAUAUUGGGCUUGAGCUUUCUGUUGAAAGGCUAAGCUCAAUGAAGAAAUAUGUCUUUGGCUUAGGAUCUGCUCAGGUUUUGGUCACUGCAAUAGUAGUUGGCUUGAUAGCGCAUUUUGUCUCUGGGCAACUGGGCCCAGCAGCAAUUGUUAUCGGUAAUGGUCUGGCUCUAUCAUCUACAGCAGUUGUCUUGCAGGUGCUGCAAGAACGAGGGGAGAGCACAUCACGCCAUGGACGUGCUACUUUUUCUGUGUUACUCUUUCAGGACUUAGCAGUGGUGGUUCUGCUGAUACUGAUACCUCUCAUUUCGCCAAAUUCAUCCAAAGGAGGGGUGGGAUUUCAAGCAAUAGCAGAGGCUCUUGGAUUGGCUGCUGUAAAAGCAAUAGUUGCUAUCGCUGCCAUAAUUGCUGGAGGACGCUUGUUUCUUCGGCCAAUUUAUAAGCAAAUUGCAGAAAACCAAAAUGCUGAGAUAUUUUCUGCAAAUACACUCCUUGUUAUAUUGGGAACAAGUCUUCUUACAGCAAGGGCUGGACUCUCUAUGGCUUUGGGAGCUUUUUUGGCUGGUCUUCUCCUAGCAGAGACAGAAUUUUCCUUGCAAGUUGAAUCAGAUAUUGCUCCUUAUCGUGGCCUUCUGUUGGGCCUCUUUUUCAUGACAGUUGGUAUGUCCAUUGAUCCAAAACUGAUGCUUGGAAAUUUUCCAGCUAUUAUGGGGACACUGAGUCUCUUAAUUGUUGGAAAAACUGUGCUGGUUGCCUUAGUGGGUAGACUAUUUGGCAUUUCGCCUAUAGCAGCAAUAAGAGUUGGUCUUCUCCUAGCUCCUGGUGGAGAAUUUGCAUUUGUUGCUUUUGGAGAAGCUGUAAAUCAGGGUAUCCUAUCUUCUCGGCUUUCAUCAUUGUUGUUUCUGGUUGUUGGUAUUUCAAUGGCUCUUACACCAUGGUUAGCUGCUGGAGGUCAGUUGCUUGCUUCUAGAUUUGAGCAGCAUGACGUCAGAAGUCUAUUGCCAGUAGAAAGUGAGACUGAUGAUCUGCAAGACCAUAUAAUCAUAUGUGGCUUUGGACGUGUUGGUCAGAUUAUAGCCCAACUUCUUUCCGAGAGGUUAAUUCCAUUUGUUGCCCUUGACGUCAGAAGUGACCGGGUAGCGGUUGGACGUGCGCUUGACCUUCCUGUGUAUUUUGGAGAUGCAGGGAGCCGAGAGGUUCUUCAUAAAGUUGGUGCUGACAGAGCUUGUGCUGCUGCAAUAGCUUUAGAUACUCCUGGUGCAAAUUAUAGAGCAGUAUGGGCACUGAGCAAAUACUUUCCAAAUGUUAAGACAUUUGUUCGGGCCCAUGAUGUUGAUCAUGGCAUUAAUUUGGAGAAGGCAGGUGCAUCCGCGGUUGUCCCUGAAACUUUGGAACCAAGUCUCCAGUUAGCAUCAGCUGUUCUUGCACAGGCCAAGUUGCCUAUGUCAGAAAUUGCUGCAACAAUUAAUGAAUUCAGAAAUCGUCAUCUCUCAGAGCUCACGGAGUUAUGUCAAACAAGUGGAAGCUCCCUCGGAUACGGAUUUUCACGGGUUACGUCGAAGCCAAAGCCCCAGAGUUCAGAUUCUGAUGAGAAUGAAAUUAUUGAAGGAACAUUGGCAAUAUAAUUUCGCACAGAUUAGGUGAUAAUAAAAUUUUGUUUAGCUGUACAGUUGGCGAUUUAUUUUGAAAAUCUAAUUUGUAUAGAAAAAAAAAAAAAAAAACUUGCAGAACCCAAAAGAUAUAAUACUUCAUUCAUAGGUUAUAUGACAUCAAAAUUUUGCUUCAAGAUGCAGAAAUCCUCAGCCUCGCAAGUUUGUUUCUUCACCUAAGCUCACUAGCCACUGGCGUCCAAAGUUGGAGCAAAGACUCCGGAUGCGCUAUGGCUUGCAGUAAGAGGUAAUGUUACAGGUAACUCCUAUCUUGCUCUUCUGAGUUUAGCAUCAGUGAGCGCCUAAUUCGUAUGGGUUGGCUUUGUCCCUAUUGUUCGAGACUGGGAAAUGGGUCAUACGUGCAUGUUGAUGAUCAUCAGGUAGCUGGUCGAUGUAAUUGAACCGGCCUGAACGUUCGAUGCGUAUGACUUAUGAUUCUUA